AGCCUAUGAUGAUUUUUAAAGAGUAGUGGUCAGAAGUCAUUUCUGAAAUCUUAAUACUGAGGCU